UUAUUUGAAAGGCGGAAGGUCGGUGGCAAGUUUAAUUGGCGGAGUGGUUCACCUAGCUACGACGACAGAUAUCGGUAGUUCAGCGUUGAAACUUUGCGACAACAAACUCGGUAAGACGAUUUCUUUCAAUGGAUACCACGUAGUGCUAGGACUACGCGCGACUGUUCAUCCUUAAGAAGGUCAACGACCCUUGCCCGUGCAGUCUGUACACCGUCCGGCGAAUUUUAUUCAUUUUUAUUUGCUCAAAUUCGCCUUGGCUCGGUUUUAUCCGCCACUCGCUUCCCCGUCAGUGGGGGGUGGGACCGUCUGCGUGAGCAAUCGCAGGCCGUCAUUUGGGCAAUUUACACUUAAGGACCCAUUGCAGCCCAGAAUUCCCCUUGAAAUCCUGAGUAGAGCAUGCUGCAGUCAAAUCUCACCUGAAGCGCACAGGUAUCGUCUUGAGACUGACCCCAUACCGCAGCGAUUACGCUACGGUCAAAGGCUCUUUUAAUUGUUUUUCUUUUUUUAAUGGAUGUACCCGGAUGUGGAAUCGAACUCGGGGUCAAGUUGUUAGUACAGUAGUACUACUAACUGACGCCUUAUCCGACUACCCUACCCGUUCCCCUAUGGCAAUGUUAAUCCGCUAGAUGGCUAUGUCGUCUGCUACCAACAGUUUAAAGUGUCAAACAACAACAAACAAACUUUUAUUAAAUAAACUACUCGAAACCAUAUUCUCUUUCAAUACUCCACUGUCAAUUACAAUUUACAGUAAUCAUCAAAAAUUGUAAUGCAAUCAUUGUGAAGUUAACCAUCUUGGCUGGAAUAAUAUCUGGGUUAACGCGAAAUCCUCCCAUGGGAUGGGUUUUGGUGUAAUACAGACUGCAAAAAUGAUCCCGAAAACUGCAAUAUUAGUGAAAACUUUUAUGGAAAUGGCUGCCAUCAAAGUAUCUGAAGGAUAUUUAAGUACUGGUUUCAAUAUAAUAUCAUUGGAUGAAUGUUGCCUUGAUCAUAAUCGCUCAGAGAAUGGGCAAUUCAAGCUGAUGCCUCAAGUGGAAUCAAAGCUGCCUUGCUGACUAUUUUCAUUCGAAAGGUUUACAAUUUGGAAUGUAUUGAAAACUACUGAAGUAACGGAACUUUAACGACAUCGAUGAUUUGUGGGACGUGGGUCAAGCAUCAUUGAUUAUUAUGGUGACAAGCAUGAUAGUUUGAUCCUGGUUGCUGGACCUGGCCACUGGAAUGAUCCUGAAAUCAUUGUGAAUAUGGUUAUACUUAACCUUAGCGAAUAUUCUCUAAUUGUGUUCCAAAAUGAUUCCUUGAAUUCUUUUCUUCUUCAUUUUGACCGAUUUGAACACGAAACCAUAGACAACCGAUCCGAUGGUUUCUCGUAAUAAUAACUUAAACUUACUUAA
rnacentral:lncRNA from 1 species